CCCUUAGAUGUUCUGGGCCGCACGCGUGCUACACUGAGUAAUUCAAUGGGUAAGGGAACGCUAGAGCAUUACCUAAUCUUGAAAUUUGAUCGUGAUGGGGAUCGACGGUUGCAAUUUUCCGUCGUGAACGAGGAAUACCUUGUAGGCGCAUGUCAUCAUCAUGCGCCGAAUACGUCCCUGCCCUUUGUACACACCGCCCGUCGCUCCUACCGAUUGAGUGAUCCGGUGAGGCUCUGGGACCUGGACGGAAAGAGCGUUUCGCUUGUUCUGUUUGGGAAACUUGGUCGAACCUUAUCAUUUAGAGGAAGGAGAAGUCGUAACA
rnacentral:rRNA from 1 species